GUCGAACGGUAACAGGAAGAAGCUUGCUUCUUUGCUGACGAGUGGCGGACGGGUGAGUAAUGUCUGGGAAACUGCCUGAUGGAGGGGGAUAACUACUGGAAACGGUAGCUAAUACCGCAUAACGUCGCAAGACCAAAGAGGGGGACCUUCGGGCCUCUUGCCAUCGGAUGUGCCCAGAUGGGAUUAGCUAGUAGGUGGGGUAACGGCUCACCUAGGCGACGAUCCCUAGCUGGUCUGAGGGGAUGACCAGCCACACUGGAACUGAGACACGGUCCAGACUCCUACGGGAGGCAGCAGUGGGGAAUAUUGCACAAUGGGCGCAAGCCUGAUGCAGCCAUGCCGCGUGUAUGAAGAAGGCCUUCGGGUUGUAAAGUACUUUCAGCGGGGAGGAAGGGAGUAAAGUUAAUACCUUUGCUCAUUGACGUUACCCGCAGAAGAAGCACCGGCUAACUCCGUGCCAGCAGCCGCGGUAAUACGGAGGGUGCAAGCGUUAAUCGGAAUUACUGGGCGUAAAGCGCACGCAGGCGGUUUGUUAAGUCAGAUGUGAAAUCCCCGGGCUCAACCUGGGAACUGCAUCUGAUACUGGCAAGCUUGAGUCUCGUAGAGGGGGGUAGAAUUCCAGGUGUAGCGGUGAGAUGCGUAGAGAUCUGGAGGAAUACCGGUGGCGAAGGC
rnacentral:rRNA from 1 species